rnacentral:rRNA from 1 species
AAUGAACGUUGGCGGCGUGGAUUAGGCAUGCAAGUCGUACGAGAAUCGUAGCAAUACGAGGACAGCGGCGAAAGGGAGAGGAACACGUGGAUACGUACCCUCGGGCCCAGGAUAGCCAUGGGAAACUAUGGGUAAUACUGGAUAACAUCUCCGGAUCAAAGGUGUGAUUCCGCCCGGGGAGCGGUCCGCGUCCUAUUAGCUAGUUGGUGAGGUAACGGCUCACCAAGGCGAAGAUGGGUACGAGAUGUGAGAGCAUAAUCUCGCUCAUUGGGACUGAGACACUGCCCAGACACCUACGGGUGGCUGCAGUCGAGAAUCUUCGGCAAUGGGGGAAACCCUGACCGAGCGACGCCGCGUGCGAGAUGAAGGCCUUCGGGUUGUAAAUCGCUGUCGUAGGGGAGGAAAUGCCGGUGGGUUCUCCCAUCGGUUUGACCUAUCCUAGGAGGAAGGACGGGCUAAGUUCGUGCCAGCAGCCGCCGUAACAC